UUGUUAGAAGGUACUUAUUAAGCGAGAAUUUUGGAGCAAAUAUAGAGUGCAUGCAUAUCGUUCUAAUAUGAUCUUGUUGAAUAAUAUAAAUAAUAUUCAUUUAAGUGAUAUAUGUUUAUCGAAUAAACAGUUUUAAUAUUCAAAAUUAUGGUUUGUUGAGCUAGAGGUAUUAACAUAAAAUAAUAUAAAAUAAAUAUAUUGUAUUCGAUAUAAUCAAUAUAAACAGGUUAAACACGAUAAUACUAACAUUCGUUUAUGCAAGUCUGAUUUUUCAUUCGAAGUUAAUAUAUUAUAAUAAAAUUGAAACACGAAUAUUAACUGGACAUUCAAGUAACUAUCUUGUAUAUAUCUGAUUAAGUAUUAUGAAUUUACAGCAAGUGGAAGAAUUUUUAUUUAUAGCUUAUGCAAAUGUUUUAUAAAAGAUAAAAAUAGUUUUAUCUAUAUUUAGUAUCAUUUGUGACUAUUAACAUAUUUCUACAACUCAAUGAUGGAAAAUAAUAUGACAGAAGAA